GUAGGGAAUAUUGCACAAUGGAGGAAACUCUGAUGCAGCGACGCCGCGUGAGUGAUGAAGGCCUUCGGGUCGUAAAGCUCUGUCGUAUGGGACUAACACAAUGAAGGUACCAUGCAAGAAAGGAUCGGCUAACUUCGUGCCAGCAGCCGCGGUAAGACGAGGGAUCCUAGCGUUGUUCGGAAUUAUUGGGCGUAAAGCGGGUGUAGGCGGAUUUAUAAGUCAGGUGUGAAAUCCCAGGGCUCAACCCUGGAAGUGCACUUGAUACUGUAAGUCAUGAGUGUGGUAGAGGCUAUUAGAAUUCUUGGUGUAGUGGUGAAAUACGUAGAUAUCAAGAGGAAUACCGGAGGCGAAGGCGGAUAGCUGGGCCAACACUGACGCUGAGACCCGAAAGCGUGGGGAUCAAACAGGAUUAGAAACCCUAGUAGUCC
rnacentral:rRNA from 1 species